rnacentral:lncRNA from 1 species
GAGUUCGUGCAUUCAAGUGACUGCGACGAGAAGAGCAGGAUAUUCCUCCUGGGUUUCACUGGAAGCAAAGCGUCCUGAGGCCUGGUGCCUUCAGUGCCUUCACAAAGACCCCCUUCUCUGCUUUAAGUGAAAGCUAGAGGAAUGAAGGGCACUUGGCCUGGGAGACCACCCAAGAACAGUGCUUCGUUCAUCACCCGGAGACAGUGGCCUGUUCAAAAGAGGAUUUCUCAACUUUAGAAGGAUGAUUCUGGCUGUGGUGUUGAGAAGAGACUCCAGCAAGGAUGGAAGUUGAGACAAACAUGGCAGCAGGAAGACCCUCUAAGGAGCUACGGCAAUAGAAGAAAAGGACUGAGGUCCUCUCGCCACCAAACUGAAGCUGAAACCUCAGCCUCUCAGUUCAUCAUUUGAAUGGUGUCAAGAAUAUGAGAUGGUGUGAGGAUGAUGGGAGAAAGGGCAUCUGAAAUGCUUGUUUUGGUUCCUCCUGAAUCCACAGUCAGUACUCAGUAGAGUAGCCAUGGUUUUAAUUAUUUUAAGAGGAAGAUUCACAAGGAUGUGCCCACAAAACACUGCCAAUUUGCAGCUGAAAAUGAUAACUGGAUUGAUAUUCCUCUUUGAGAUGCAAGCAGAUGCCUCCACCAACUAUCUCGAACCGGAAUGCCGCAGCCUCCCCUUCGUCCGCAUUUAUCCUUGGCAGGAGCACCGUCUAUUUUGGGAAGGAUGAAUCCCUGAGGACACCUGCAAAGGACUGGAAGCUCUUAGCAACUCCUUGACCUGAGAGUGAGGAACCGAGCGGUGGGAGCCCCAGGACCUGCCCAUCAUCACGUCUCUGCAGUGGCCUUGCCACAACCUGCCUGGCGGGUUCUCCUGGAUUGGGGGAAGGUCUGGACCCGUAUCCCUCGGGGGUUCUCCUAGGUCUCUUAUGGAGGAGGUGGCAGGGCAGGGAAUUGCGCAGGGACUUUCGACUCCAUUUCCAAGGCACAUGCAUUUGCUAAGUGCUAAGACUUCUGUAAGAUAGUUGGAGUGGAAAAUGGAACCCUUAACCCUAGACCCUAAAGUUCAACACUUUCAUGAUCGCUACAAUGGGCGCUAAAGAGAAGAGAACAGAGGAAACAGUCUGGGCAAAUGUAUCCUGUUUGUUGUUAUGGGGCUUUGGUCUCAAAUCUCUGUGGUUGAACUGAGCUAGUUUGGAGCAUGUGUCAGCUGUGAGCAUGCCCUUUGCCUGUCUAAAUUCAGGUGGAAGACGAAAAGCCUAAUGAUAAGUUCAAGGUCAAAUAAGUCUAAAUAUGAAUAAGAAGCAAUAAAGCAUAGUCCUAAAGUCAGAUGUGAAAGCGAGAGAAUGUGAUGCUUAUGGAUGAGAAAAGUGAGACAGGCCUUAUGGAAUCUCCAGCUUUCAUGCUGGACUUUGUUUGGUAUAGAACCUUCUCAGCAUGGUGCUAGGAUGCUCCCUUCUCAGGAAAUAGCUCAGACGGGAGAAACCUUGAGCUUCUCCCAGUAGCUGAAACGUGCCUCAAACAUUCAUUACAGCUUCUUAGACAGAGUUCGCUGAGGAAAGUUGUGUUCCCCGGGGCUGGAAAUUCUAGUAGACUGUAGGUGCUUUCAAACUUUGUGGUUUUUACUUAAUUUUUUUAUUUUAAAAAAUUUUUUGAAAAGAUACUUCUUUUAGGCAUAGAAACUUAUACAGAACUCUAAUAUGUAACUGGUUAAAAUGUAUUCUAUUUGUAUAAAUUUAUUUUAGGAACUCAAAUGCAGUGAAGCUUUGCUACAUGCACUCUUUACUGGAUAACAGUGAGGAGAGUGGGCGGGGAGAUAUCCACUCAUUGAAAAGGAGAUUGCAAACCAAAUUUCCAAAA